UACGUAGGGGGCAAGCGUUGUCCGGAUUAUUGGGCGUAAAGAGCGUGUAGGCGGCCAUACAGGUCCGUUGUGAAAAGCUGGAGGCUUAACCUCCAGACGUCGAUGGAAACCGUAUGGCUAGAGUCCGGAAGAGGAGAGUGGAAUUCCUGGUGUAGCGGUGAAAUGCGCAGAUAUCAGGAAGAACACCCGUGGCGAAGGCGGCUCUCUGGGA
rnacentral:rRNA from 1 species